CAGGGAAGAGUUGGGCUGAAACCCGCGCCCACGGGAAUCAAAGGGAGUUUUACCCCCUCGCUCCUUCCAUGGAGCUAAGAUCCCAGCUUGCACGUCCCUGCCUCCCUCUGAAUGCGGGCUGUAGGGGAAGGUGCAACAGGCAAGGGCUCUCCAGUUAGCACGAUCGCCAGGGUGACUAGCUAGCCCUUGCUGGGAGGCUUGUGCCAAUCGCUGUGUAUAAGGCCCUCCCCCACUCCCGGCCGCUCCUCGCUGCAGGGACUCUGCCCGGCCGCGCGGCUCGGGUGCAGACUCCAAGGUCUAAACUCUCAGCUAAUUUCUGAGCUUCAUGUUUUUGACAGACUGAAGAAAAAUCCCUGAUCUGUACACAUUUGAACUUGGCUAUUCCAAACCAAGAACCAUAACACAACUGUUCCUAAGUUUACAUAUUUGAUGUUUCAACUGCCCGGUAAAGAAACAGCCUGGAACUCUGACUCAGAUAUAAUUCAGCUCCAGACUCAGGGACAUAUUCAUCUCGACUGACUGACCCAAACACAGGAAGAUCAAAGGAAUGCAGACUGCAAUCAGAAGGCCAAAGCAGCAAAACCUGCAGUGUUGCAUGUUACUCUGGAUGCUUUUCCUCACUAAAUACCUGAGUAUAAACUAUCAAAUGGGUUUCUAUGAUGGUCUUAUUAGGCUGAGACCUGGAUUAGUUUAUUGCAGCACUUCCCAAAUUUGGGGGGUUUACUCCUCACCCCAGUAAAGCUGGCCAUUCUCACACCCACUGCGUCAGGCACCAAAUUUCAUUCAAUGCUUUUGUGCAUGUUACAUGAUCCACACAUGCGUGGAUACUUGGGUUCUUGCCCCGCCAGGAACCUUUCAUGUCCCUAUGCCCCUCUUCCACCCUCCCAAAGGGGUAUGCCCCACAGUUUGAGAAAUGCCGGUUUACUGGUUCUUGCUUCUGCCUUUAUUGGCCAGCAGAGUUAGAUCCAUUAUGAAGAUAGCAUAUUCAACACUGGGAAGAAUGGGAUCACAGAAGUGCUUUAAGUAUCACCCAUCCUGUGGAUUAAGGGUUUGGUUCUGUUCUCACUGGCAGCAGUGGCAUAAUGAUCAUUUGAUGUAGUGAUGUUGGAUCAGACCUUAAUUGAGCAGCUUCAGAAGUCUCACCUGUGAAAGAAUCCCCUUCCUGCCUCCUCUCUCUUUAGUAGUUGUCUGUUUUCCUUCUCUCUCUCAUGUGUCUAUCAAUCCGGUUGCUAGGCGGCCAACUUGCUGCUUAUGUGAGGGGCCACAGAUCAGAGGGUGUGGAUCUUAUCCCUCUAUUGUUUUGAGAUCUGACCUCAUGACAUGGAGGCAGGGGCUUAAGCCCAUGUCACUUCAUUAAGUAACUAUGAUGUUUUUCAAAUUGAUUGGCCGGCAUCAAAUAACACCUGUCCCUGUCUGGGUCCAGGUGGUAAGGGCAAGAGGGCUAUUUAAAAGGUCCCUACAGGAAGAAGGGGGACAGACAUUUUUAAAACAUGCACACAGCAGCAUGGGCCUCUGCAGCUCUUUCUCAUUCUCUGGCUAUGAGAGUGAGCAACUUACCAGAAACCUAACUAGGAACUUAUUUUACUGUAAUCUAGUUGCAUAUCAAAAGGCUGACAAGCCACUCAGAUUUGUUCAAGGUUGGUUUUCUUUCUAUAUUUUACUAUUGGUAUUCCUCCCCCCACCACCAAUCCC